UUGCUCACCCCAUUUAUACAGCCUCACUCUAGAGUGGAUUCUUUGAUGGUGAAUGAGCCGAGUACUUUGGCCAAAGGCUUUCCCACACUGGUCACAUUCAAAGGGCUUCACUCCCCUGGUGUGAAUCCUCUCGUGCUGAGUUAGGUAUUUGCUGCAGCUAAAGGUUUUCUCACAUUUGUUACACUUAAAGCACUUCUCUUUCUGUUCUGGGUUCUGAUCCAAGAUCUUCCCACUCACAAAAAAUCCUUGUUUUUCUCUGGCGUGAACACUCUCGUGGCACUUCAGGGUUGAGCCGCAAAUGAAGCGUUCUCCGCACUCCUGACAUUCAUAUGGGGUUUUGACAGUGUGCAUUUUCUGGUGUUGCACAAGGCGAUUGUUAUCGCUGAAAGUCUCCUUGCAUUCAGCACAGCUAUAGGGCUUUUCUGCGGUGUGAAUGGCCUGAUGUCGCAUCAGAUGUGAGGGCCGGCUGAAACUCCUGACGCAUUCCUGACAUUUGUGGGGUCUGUAGCCUGUAUGAAUUCGCCGAUGUUCAUUAAGGUGAGUGUGCCGGUGGAAGGCCUUCCCACACUCACUGCAUUUGUAAGGCUUCUCUCCACUGUGAACCCUCUGAUGGAUCUUUAGGGUAGAGUUAUGCCUGAAGGAUUUCCCACGUUCGUUACACUUAUAAGGCUCCUCUCCAGCAUGAAGAGCCUGGUGUUCAAUGAGCAGCGAACUGUGCCUAAAAAUCUUCCCACACUCCUGACACUCAGAGGUAGUUUUUGCAGCGUGAGUUUUCUGAUGUUGGAUGAGGUGUUUUCUCAAGUUGAAGGUCGCCUGGCACUUGGAACACUCAUAGCGUUUCCGAGUGUGGAUCUUCUGGUGCCGAGUAAGGUGGAAGAUCCGGGUAAAAGCCUUGCCGCAUUCGUUACAGUUGUAGGACUUACUAUCUGUGUGAGUUUUCUGAUGCUCACCAGGCUGUGUGUCAUGACUGGGUGGGUGGUCACUAUCUUGACUCUUACAUGGUUUUUCUCCAGUGUGAGUUUUCUGAUGCCACAGGUAUGUACUCUGACUAAAAGUUGUCCCAUAUUCAUUACACACAUAGAAUUUGUAGCCCGUGUGAGUUUUCGGAUACACAGAAAGGGAAGCAUUCCGGUCAAAACCUUGCUCACACUCUUGAUGGACAGUGGGUUUCUCCCUAGUAUGAGUGAUCCAGUGCUGGGUAAGACGGUAACUCCCACUGAAGCUUUUCCCACAUUCACUACAUUGAUAUGGUUUCUCCCCUUCCUGAACAGAAUCCUGCUGGCUGUGGUCGGAGUAGGAGAAAAACUCACCCCUAUAUUCCUUAGACUUAGCUGGUGUGAGGGUCUUUUCAGAAACAUUAUGCACCAUGGAAUCUUCUCCCGUGGAAACGGUGGACACAGGACUGAGUCCUCUCUUUAAUUCAUGACUCUUGCAUUCCGUGGGACUUUCCCCGUUGGUGGCAAUAUCAGACCUCAGAAGACUUUCUGGAUCGCCUAGCAAACUAUCUAACCAGGUGUCCUCUAUACAGGCUUCUCCGAAAUUGGAGUUCCAGAAGCCAUCCUUGGAUAACAUCUCUAUAAUCUCCUGGGAGAAUCCUUCUUCGAAGAAAUCCUCCAUCAGAGGAGAGUUCUUGGUCUCAGUCACAUCUGAAAGAGCAAGUGCAAAUGUCUCCUGUUCACUAAGGGUAAGUGAGCAGAAGACUGAGGAUUUG
rnacentral:lncRNA from 1 species